CCAAAGCAAAUUAAUCAACCACAACACAUUGUAGCGAUCUUCUUCUUCUUCAUCUCUCUCUCUUUCUUCAAUCGCCGGAGCUUCCACGGCUGCUUAUUCCGCUGUCGGAUCAGUCUUCGUCGCCUUCAAAUCCGUCGAAAUUUCUGCUCAUUCUAGCAAUUUGAAACUCUCUAAUUUCCGACAUUGCUCUCCGAUUUCAAGCCGAGUCGGAUCUAUUUAGCUCUGACAUAGCCUUAACUCGCAUUGCGGAUCCCGAAGCUCCUUUGCUUCGUCUGGUAUUCGUUCUCUUUGUUUUGGCAAAUCCUCUGAUCACUGGUCGAAGCUCUCCUUUGGAUCACAAGCUUCGAAGUUUGCAAAAAAUGUGAGGGAUUCACAGCUUCAGGUGCGUCUCUUUCGUUCUUUUUCUUUACAUUAUUUAGCUUUCUUGUGAUAUUAUUGUGUUUGGUUGCCGAGAAAAUGUUGGAAAACGAUCUCUUCUUCACAUCCACUGAAGCCAAGUAUUUUUCGUGAGGUUUAAAUUUUAAUUUUCUUGCAUUUUAUAAAAUGUUGGCCGUUUCGAGUGCGUUUGCAGGGGCGAAGGUGGAGAGUCUCCUCCUCAGUAACACCGGCGGAAGCCCCUCCUCAUUGUCGAGGUCGUCUCAAAUUCCGGUGUUCUGCAAACCAUCUCGUACCAGACGAGCCCUAAUUCAGAGAGGCGGUCUCAGCAUUCGUUGCGAGAUUGUUUCAGAGGUCUU